CUCUGUUGGCCACUAUGGUACUGCCCAGGACAAAGGGCCCAUUAAGGAGGCACAAUCAGCUUCAUGAAUGCAACUGCAGAAGUCUGAUGCAAGACUCCAAAAGGGCAAGAGGAGGACUGUGGCUGACUCACCAUGACUCCUUUGAGCAGGACCAAAGAGAACGCAUGCUGCACUCUGUCAAAACCUGGGGAGGCUCCUGCUACUGUGAGUGCUCCAUCACAGAAUUCUGACGGAGUACAAAUGGAGUUUUUUCUGCCCCUUCAGGGCUAUACUUUGAUGUAUGAUGAAUUGGAGACACACUGGAGAUGAAUGGACAGAAGAGAAAAAAAAAAGACGACUACCCUGAAGGAUACAUUAAUCACACCAUUGUUGAGCUACAUAUUUUGCUGAUUAGCCCAUUUUCUAAAUGAGCAACGUGACUUCGUCUUUCUGAAAUAGCGGCUUUUAGGGAUCUGGACCUGGUGGAAAAUUUAUUGUUCCAACAUUGAGCUACACUAGCAAUGUUACUGGACACAAGUCUUAGCAACAAAUAGUAAAUUAUGGAGAACAUUGCCAUUGUUGGCCUGCAAGCUGAGCAAAGAGUGAAAACAAAAGAGUGAUGAAAUUGUAUAU